GGCUGGUCCGAUGGUAGUGGGUUAUCAGAACUUAUUAACAUUAGUGUCACUAAAGUUGGUAUACCACCCCCCACUGCUAAAUUUGACUGGCUUUU
rnacentral:Y_RNA from 1 species